rnacentral:rRNA from 1 species
UACAGAGGUCUCAAGCGUUGUUCGGAUUCAUUGGGCGUAAAGGGUGCGUAGGCGGCGCGGUAAGUCGGGUGUGAAAUCUCGGGGCUUAACUCCGAAACUGCAUUCGAUACUGCCGUGCUUGAGGACUGGAGAGGAGACUGGAAUUUACGGUGUAACGGUGAAAUGCGUAGAUAUCGUAAGGAAGACCAGUGGCGAAGGCGGGUCUCUGGACAGUUCCUGACGCUGAGGCACGAAGGUCAGGGGAGCAAACGGG